rnacentral:rRNA from 1 species
UACAGAGGUCUCGAGCGUUGUUCGGAUUCAUUGGGCGUAAAGGGCGCGUAGGUGGCGCUGUAAGUCGGGUGUGAAAUUUCGGAGCUUAACUCCGAAACUGCAUUCGAUACUGCGGUGCUUGAGGACUGGAGAGGAGACUGGAAUUCAUGGUGUAGCGGUGAAAUGCGCAGAUAUCAGGAGGAACACCGAUGGCGAAGGCAGGUCUCUGGGCCGAUACUGACGCUGAGGAGCGAAAGCGUGGGGAGCGAACAGG